UACGAAGGGGGCGAGCGUUGUUCGGAAUUACUGGGCGUAAAGGGCGCGUAGGCGGCCUUUUUUGUCAGGCGUGAAAGCCCUGGGCUCAACCUGGGAGGUGCGUUUGGGACGGCAAGGCUAGAGUUCGGGAGAGGAGAGUGGAAUUCCCAGUGUAGAGGUGAAAUUCGUAGAUAUUGGGAAGAACACCGGUGGCGAAGGCGGCUCUCUGGACCGAGACUGACGCUGAGGCGCGAAAGCGUGGGGAGCAAACAGG
rnacentral:rRNA from 1 species